GUCAAAGGAAAGGAUAUCUUAGUUUUCUUCUGAAUUUAUAGCUACAAUUCCAGUUUCCCAUCCCAUCUUGGUAGAAUCUACACCCUGUAUAUAACUUCUUUGAUGAUUUGUUUUUUGUCUAGAUUAAACUAAAUUUGUACGUAUUUGUCUUUAGUUUUUGAUAAGUUCAUUGGAAUUUGUUUGUUUAUCAUUAUAUAUUGAUUGGAUGUUGUUAUGGACAAACACAAUAAUGGUGAUGCUCCAAUGUCUAAAAAUAUGGGUUCCAUUCACAAGGUCUAAGUUGCAGAAGUGCUUCUUUUAUCGCUACCGAGUGAUUGUGCUACUAACUCCUUGUACUAAACUGUUUUAUUGCUGGCUACCUUUUGAACUCUUUAUCUCAAACUAUGUACUUUCCUGAUUGAUAUACUCACUUUUUGAGGAUGUUCCAAGAGCUGGAGUAAAAGAAAAUUUAUUUAAGUGAAGCACAUUGAAUCUGAGGGUAAUGUCGAUUCCCUCAUUAGCUUUGUACAGGCUGGAAACUUGAAGGGGAAAAUAACCAGGUCAACCGCAUUCUUCAAGAUGUUCAAUUUAAAGACCAGAAGCAGUUUAAGCAGUUUGUUUCCCAAAGCAAGGCUAGAAUGGAGGAGUGAUUAAGAGGCAGUGGUGAUGAUAUUGCUGCCGCAAGGAUGGGUGCAAAGUUAAAUGUUGCAGGGUGGAUUUCUAAACAAAUGGGUGGCGUUAGGUUAGCUAUCUGGACUGUUAUCUAUUGAUUUAAAUUGCUUGUUUUCACAAUACAGUCGUGCAACCACCUUAAGUCUCAAGUCUGCAGUUAAAUUCUGUUUUGGUUUUUGUUGUUUUUAGAUUAGUUUAAUUGUUUUGGUUAUUAUGCUAAACCCCA